UAUCGAGUGUUCUAUGUGUUGCAGUGACCAUUAAUACAGUGUUUCCUAUUGUUACACUGGUUUGAGGUGUUUAUCAAGUGUUCUAUCAUGUGUUACUGUAGGAUUUCAUCAGCUGCUUCAAGCCCUAAUCGUUGUUCCAAAUGUUAGAAAAAAAUCAGGCAGACCAUAAGUGACAUUGAAGUAGCAAAGAAAAUACUAUAGCUCAAAGCCAAAAGAAGUGACAAGAGUAACUAAAGGGAGAGAUUUUGAAUUACGUGUGAGUGAAGUUGCUAAGACUGUACUCUGAAACAUCUCUGGUCAGCUCCUCCAAUUGUAAACUUGUAAACGGUUCUCAGCACUGAUUGAAAGUGAAGAACAAGAAUGACAAGAGUAACUAAAGUGAGAGAGUUUGAAAGUGUGUGUGUUUGUGUGUGAGUGAGUGAGUGAAUUUUACUGAGACUGUAUUUUGAAACGUCUCUGGUCAGCUCCUCCAAUUGUAAACGGUUUGAAUUGAAUUGAAAGUCAAGAACAAGAGUGACAGAGUAACUAAAGAUAGAGAGUUUGGAAGUGUGCGUGAGUGAAGCUACUGGGAUUGUACUCUGAAGAAAGUAAAAAAAAAAAAAAAAAAAACUAGUUAGCACUUUGUAAACUUGUAAAGGGUUCUUAUGAUAGAUUGGAAGUAAAGAAUAAGAGUGACGAGUAACUAAAGAGACAGUUUGGAAGUGAGUGUGAAUGAAGUUACUGCGACUAUUCAGGAAGAUCUCUGCGCAGUGCAUCCUCUACCUCUGUAAAGUCGUGAAGGGUUCUCAGCUCAGACUGAAACUAAAGGACCUAGCAAGUGGUGCAAACAACAUCCAAAAAAAAAAAAAAAAAAAAUGAUUCGGGUUAAAAAGAAAAUGAAGAAGAAUAGAGUUUCCGGUAGUAGGAAGAAAAUUAAUGAAAUGAAAGCUAAAAGUGAAGAAAAACAAACAAGCAAUGGUCUAACUUUUUGUAUAAGAGGGAUGCUGGCACAGGGCAACGAAAUGGACAAAGUUGACACUCCCUAAAAAAAAAAAAAAAAAAAAAGUAAAUAAAAAAAUGAUAAAAAAUGAAAAAAAUAGAUAAAAAUAAAUAAAUAAAUAAAUGUAAAAUUGGAGGACGAACGUCUAGAAACCUUCCUCUAGAAAGAGUUCAAGUCAUAAGAAGAGGAAACAGAGAAACAGAGAAGAGUUCCAGAGUUUGCUAGAAAAAGAAAAAGGAUGAAAGAUUAAGAACACUGGCGAAGCUACAGAACAGGAAUGAGAGAAAAUACAAAGGCUUCGUUGCCUCAGACAGCUGUUUCGGCGAGGGAAAAGAUAAGGUUUAGAAGAGAAGAGGCGGCAGUCCACACAUUGAAAUUUAGAGCCAAAGCCGCGAAUGUUGCAUAAGUUAAUGGCGAAGAGACAGUUUGCUCUCAGGAUCGAAACAAGAAGAGCAGGCCGACGUGGUGACAUUUGUGGUCUCCCUUCCAGGACGAGAAUUACGUGGCUGGUGCAGGAGUCGCUAUAGUGAAGGUGGUGGAUAAAUUUCAGGUUGACUCAUGAUUACAAGUCUAACGUUUCCACUAUAAAUAAUUUCUCUGACGAAGACUUAGAGUUGAAACGUUAGAGAAACAAAGUAUUCCUGGGUCAAUGUAAGACUCAUCUACCACCUUCACUACCCAACUCUCCACACAACUGUAUCGAGUCGCUUAUAGAAAAAAAAAGAAGAAAAGUUGGGGUAUCGAGUGAAGUGUGUGCGUGUGAUAAGCAGCAUGUAGAAUUGUGCCAAGGAAGAGAGUUGUCCUGACUGACGCCCUGUUAUUUACGUCCGAUCUCAGAAAUGCCUUGUUCUCUCAUCUCGACAGUUUUCCAAGGCCACAGAGACGACUAGCCUGGUUUUCAAGACAGUUUCUCCUUAUAAUAAUCUAGAAAUCUUGCCUCUCCAUCACCCGAACCUUAAAAAUAUCCUUAAAAAACAUGAACAUCUUGAACUAAACCCUUUGGAAAGUAAUGAUGGUAAGAGGGCAGAGCGUUCAAGAAUACUGACCUCAAGAUACAAAGGGAGGCCACAAAGACUCUUGAAGGUCACAGCUGGGUCAUAGACAAGUUCACAGCACCUCUUGGCCCAGUGUUUGAGACCCUCCUGGGAGUAAUCAUCGCUUCGCGUCACGCCACUCCUCUCCACGCAUCCUGUGUGUGUGUAGUACUGUGUACGUGUGUGUGGGCGCCGCUGAGACAUGGCAGAUAGUGAAGGGCAGAAGCAAGACACAGGCGCCUCUGAGGACAUCAAUAAACCCUUCACAAUCGACCACACGAAGAGAAAAACAGAGGUGGAUAUUUGCCCUGCAGUCACCAGUAAAGAGAUCAGAGAACCAGAGGAUACCAUGGCGAACGAGACUAGGGCAGAGCAGCUCCUGGCGCUGGGCAUAGAGUGUCUAGAGAAGGAUGAAGACUUGGAGGCCCUGAACCACCUGACGGAGGCCAUAGCAUUGGACACCAGUAACCCUCUCCUCUUUAUUAACAGGGCGGCUGCUUAUGCCCGGCUGAAGAAUUAUGAUGACGCGAUGGAGGACGCCGAGACAGUGGUGGAGAUGCGUCCAGACUGGCCUGAGGCAUAUCUGAGGAAGGGUACCAUCUGGCUGGCUGAGUUUCGGCACCGUCUGGCUUACUGUACCUUGGAGAGCGGUCUGUUGCGGGAUCCUGGGAAUGAGAAGCUGGGGAGGGCCUUCUUUGAGACCAAGACAAGGAUGCAGAAGGCGAGGAAGGGCACCAAGUACCCGAAGCCUCUCACUCACCCGCUGAUGGACAAGUCGACCCACGAGCUGCUCAGAGUGAACCCCAUCACUAGUGACUUCAUGACCGACCCCGCGUUUGUUGACAUGCUGAACCGAGCGAGGCGAGACCAUGACCUGUGGAACGAGGUGAAAUAUUCCGAGGACGAACGUUACAUGGUAGCCAACACCGUCGCUUUGACCUUUGAAGUGAACGCUGUGGAGACCGACUCGAGCGACAUACGUGAUAAAGAGAAACACAGCGAGGAUCUCAAAAGGUUUAAUUACCCUUACAUUCAGAGAUUCGAGGCUGUGCGCAAGAUAGUCCUCCCCGCAGACCGUCCACCUGUCCCAGCCCCGCCCGAAGUGAAGAGAAGAACCCCCUCGCCAGUUGUGAAGUAUCCGAAGGGGUGUGAAAUAGAUGGGUCCCCCCUGCUUGGCGAAAUGAAUCUUUGUCAACCCUCGUUUUCUUUUGAGUGAAGUUGUGUUAUUGAAGCGAGAGGUGGCGAGGGAAAGGGAACAAGAGGCCGGCGUGCUAAGUGACGUGUGAGGUGAGAAGAGCAUUGCCUUACUCCCGCCACUCUUCCUACUGCCUGGUGUUGCUCUGUGCUGGUAAAAAUCAGUCUGUUAUUUAGCACAGUAUUUUGAAGCAUUUCUGUGCCGCAUCUCCCCUAUUUGAAGUCUGUAGUGUAAAUUAUCCGAAGUUUUAAGGGUGUCUGUACGGUUUUAGUGGCAUAUUAACGCUAUUUCUACAUUAUUAACAGAAGUAACAGUCUUUAGAACAAGGCAACUUAUCUCUGUGGUCUCUGAAAACAGUUGUGGUGUGGGAGCAAAACGUUUCUGGUCUUACUCAGCAUAUAUACACAUACAUACACAUACAUAAUAUAUAACAUACGUUUUUUUUUUUUUCCGGCUAAUAGUACCCUUAGUAUUAUUCUACUUGGAGAAGCAAUUUAUCCAUUCAAUUAUUACGUGCAUACUUACAUACACAUAUACAUAGGUCAAAUAUAUACAGCAGUUCUUAUAUUGUUCUGCUAAUGGGACUUGUUUUAUUAGAUUUCUCGUUGAGAUAGACAAAUAAUUCAUUCAGUUGAUACAUGCAUACUUAUAUACACGUAUACAUACUUUAUAUAUUACAUACUUGAUUAUAUACCACAAUUAUUAUAUAUUUUUUUCAUUAGAAUUCUCGUUUGGAAAGACAUACUUAAAUGAUGACGAUGAUUGAUGAUAAUGGUGAUGAUGAUGAUAAUGGUGAUGAUACUUAAAUGAUGACGAUGAUUGAUGAUAAUG
rnacentral:misc_RNA from 1 species